rnacentral:ncRNA from 2 species
CAAAUAAUAAAGCAUCACCGUCGUAUAAUUUUGGGGAUAGGGCCCAUGAGUUUCUACCAGACCGCCGUAAAUUGGUCUGACUACGUUGGUGGAUGGAUGUUGU